UGAGUAACACGUAUCCAACCUGCCGUCUACUCUUGGACAGCCUUCUGAAAGGAAGAUUAAUACAAGAUGGCAUCAUGAGUCCACAUGUUCACAUGAUUAAAGGUAUUCCGGUAGACGGUGGGGAUGCGUUCCAUUAGAUAGUAGGCGGGGUAACGGCCCACCUAGUCUUCGAUGGAUAGGGGUUCUGAGAGGAAGGUCCCCCACAUUGGAACUGAGACACGGUCCAA
rnacentral:rRNA from 1 species